rnacentral:rRNA from 1 species
GAACGCUGGCGGCACGCUUAACACAUGCAAGUCGAACGAGAGAAGAGAAGCUUGCUUUUCUGAUCUAGUGGCGGACGGGUGAGUAACACGCGAGCAAUCUGCCUUUCAGAGGGGGAUACCGAUUGGAAACGAUCGUUAAUACCGCAUAACAUAAUUGAACCGCAUGAUUUGAUUAUCAAAGAUUUAUCGCUGAAAGAUGAGCUCGCGUCUGAUUAGCUAGUUGGUAAGGUAACGGCUUACCAAGGCGACGAUCAGUAGCCGGACUGAGAGGUUGAUCGGCCACAUUGGGACUGAGACACGGCCCAGACUCCUACGGGAGGCAGCAGUGGGGAAUAUUGCACAAUGGAGGAAACUCUGAUGCAGCGAUGCCGCGUGAGGGAAGAAGGUUUUAGGAUUGUAAACCUCUGUCUUUGGGGACGAAAAAUGACGGUACCCAAGGAGGAAGCUCCGGCUAACUACGUGCCAGCAGCCGCGGUAAUACGUAGGGAGCGAGCGUUGUCCGGAAUUACUGGGUGUAAAGGGAGCGUAGGCGGGAUCGCAAGUCAGAUGUGAAAACUAUGGGCUUAACCCAUAAACUGCAUUUGAAACUGUGGUUCUUGAGUGAAGUAGAGGUAAGCGGAAUUCCUAGUGUAGCGGUGAAAUGCGUAGAUAUUAGGAGGAACAUCAGUGGCGAAGGCGGCUUACUGGGCUUUAACUGACGCUGAGGCUCGAAAGCGUGGGGAGCAAACAGGAUUAGAUACCCUGGUAGUCCACGCCGUAAACGAUGAUUACUAGGUGUGGGGGGACUGACCCCUUCCGUGCCGCAGCAAACGCAAUAAGUAAUCCACCUGGGGAGUACGACCGCAAGGUUGAAACUCAAAGGAAUUGACGGGGGCCCGCACAAGCAGUGGAGUAUGUGGAUUAAUUCGAAGCAACGCGAAGAACCUUACCAGGUCUUGACAUCGUAUGCAUAGCUCAGAGAUGAGUGAAAUCUCUUCGGAGACAUAUAGACAGGUGGUGCAUGGUUGUCGUCAGCUCGUGUCGUGAGAUGUUGGGUUAAGUCCCGCAACGAGCGCAACCCUUACUGUUAGUUGCUACGCAAGAGCACUCUAGCAGGACUGCCGUUGACAAAACGGAGGAAGGUGGGGAUGACGUCAAAUCAUCAUGCCCCUUAUGACCUGGGCCUCACACGUACUACAAUGGCUGUCAACAGAGGGAUGCAAAGCCGCGAGGUGGAGCGAACCCCUAAAAGCAGUCUUAGUUCGGAUUGUAGGCUGCAACCCGCCUACAUGAAGUCGGAAUUGCUAGUAAUCGCAGAUCAGAAUGCUGCGGUGAAUACGUUCCCGGGCCUUGUACACACCGCCCGUCACGCCAUGGGAGUCGGUAACACCCGAAGCCUGUAGUCUAACCGCAAGGAGGACGCAGUCGAAGGUGGGAUUGAUGACUG